AAGAUAUCAAUAUCUGGAGGUGUGGAUUCAUCUAUUCAAAGAAAAUGCAGUUCUGUAUGCCUAGACACCACUGUCUUGAAGAUGCAUCCUUCAGGAAACAAUGAUUCAUCUGUUGAAUCGAAGUCUACUUUAUUGUCCAGUGAUGUGCUUCACAAAAGAUUCAGUAAUCCAUUGAUUACUUUCAGUUGAACCAAAAAGAAAGAGCAAGUGGAUGAGGCAGAUAUUCCAAAGAAGUCAGUUGAGGGGAUGAAAUUUUCACUAGUCAAAUGGAACAACUACACAUUAGGUGUAAGUGGCUCACCGGAAGGAUCCCCUCAAAGAUGUAACUCAAUAGAUCAGUCGACUGCUCCCGUUAUAUUUAUAGAGGAUCCAAACAUGAGCCCUUUGCUUUUUCAGAGACAAGAUGAGCAAUCUUCCUUGAUUAUGGUUUCUCAAAGGCAUCAGUCCUUUGGCGAUAUUGAAGAAUGCAGCUCAAGUGACAAGAUAUUCUAACAAAAACCAGCAGCAAUCUUCUAAGAUACAACAAAACAUGUAAAAGCCUAAGAAGCAACUGCAACCUUGUUAUUUCUAAGAUACAGGCUGAUUUAGUUGUGUUAUUUUCUCAAAAUGCUUUAAGCGGCGAAAGCUUCUUUUCCUGUAUUCUCUGAUGCUUGUUUUUCCAAGAGCUUGCAAGUCUCAGGAAACAAAGGGCUGAGAUGUUAUGCAUCAAAUCCUUACUAUUUUUAGCAAUGCCCUCAGCAAAAAACAAUUUGGAGUUUCAGUCCUCUGUUUUAAGUGAAAUGAGAGUUUUGUU